AGCAGUAGCCGCGGGAAUACGGAGGGGGCUAGCGUUGUUCGGAAUUACUGGGCGUAAAGCGCACGUAGGCGGCUUUGUAAGUUAGAGGUGAAAGCCCGGAGCUCGACUCCGGAAUUGCCUUUAAGACUGCAGAGCUAGCCGGUGAGAGAGGUGAGUGGAAUUCCGAGUGUAGAGGUGAAAUUCGUAGAUAUUCGGAAGAACACCAGUGGCGAAGGCGGCUCACUGGCUCAUACUGGACGCUGAGGUGCGAAAGCGUGGGGAGCGAACAGGAUUAGAUACCCCAGUAGUCCCUGUCUCUUAUAC
rnacentral:rRNA from 1 species